UACCGGCAGCACGAGUGAUGACCGCUAUUAUUGGGCCUAAAGCGUCCGUAGCUGGCCAUGCAAGUCCAUCGGGAAAUCCGCGCGCUUAACGCGCGGGCGUCCGGUGGAAACUGCAUGGCUUGGGACCGGAAGACCAGAGGGGUACGUCCGGGGUAGGAGUGAAAUCUCGUAAUCCUGGACGGACCACCGGUGGCGAAAGCGCCUCUGGAAGACGGAUCCGACGGUGAGGGACGAAAGCUCGGGUCACGAACUGG
rnacentral:rRNA from 1 species